rnacentral:rRNA from 1 species
UACGUAGGCAGCAAGCGUUGUUCGGAGUUACUGGGCGUAAAGGGUGCGUAGGCGGCUUUUUAAGUUUGGUGUGAAAUCUCCCGGCUCAACUGGGAGGGUGCGCCGAAUACUGAGAGGCUAGAGUGUGGGAGAGGAAAGUGGAAUUCCUGGUGUAGUGGUGAAAUACGUAGAUAUCAGGAGGAAUACCGGUGGCGAAGGCGGCAUCUG